AUGCUCACUUCAGCACAGGUACUAAAAUUGGAACGAUACAGAGAAGAUUAGCACGGCCCCUGUGCAAGGAUGAUACUAAUUCGUGAAGCCUUCCAUGUUUUU